GCCCUUUCCCCGCCGCGACGGCUCACCUAUAUUGGGAGUGCCGUCGCAAGACGGCUAUGGCGAUAAACGAGCGGUGUAAUACGCCUUUCGGACCCGGGGGCAGUACCCGGCGCCUCCACCCGAGCCCAUCGGACGGUCCCAGGACGGAUCGGCGGCGGUGGGUUCCGGCGGGGGCGAACUAGGAUCGACGAGGGUCUAAAAACCGAUCUUUUGCCCGGCAUGAUACCGCCGUUAUCGGGUCAAACUAUAGUUGCCAACGACAACUAUGCUCCGGUUGCAGUGGCCGCGUGAGCGGUUUCUGACUCCGGUUACAAGUCCUGACGUGUAGCAGCGAUCAGGCGGGGUUCGGAGGCACCCGGCAACAGAAGCCUCCACU
rnacentral:tmRNA from 1 species